rnacentral:tRNA from 1 species
GCAGCGGUGUUUCAGGGGUAGAAUUCAUACCUUCCAUGUGGGAGACCUGGGUUCAAUUCCUGGCCAGUGCA